rnacentral:rRNA from 1 species
CUACGUAGGGUGCAAGCGUUAAUCGGAAUUACUGGGCGUAAAGCGUGCGCAGGCGGUUUUGUAAGACAGUGGUGAAAUCCCCGGGCUCAACCUGGGAACUGCCCUUGUGACUGCAAGGCUGGAGUGCGGCAGAGGGGGAUGGAAUUCCGCGUGUAGCAGUGAAAUGCGUAGAUAUGCGGAGGAACACCGAUGGCGAAGGCAAUCCCCUGGGCCUGCACUGACGCUCAUGCACGAAAGCGUGGGGAGCAAACAGGAUUAGAUACCCUGGUAGUCCACGCCCUAAACGAUGUCAACUGGUUGUUGGGGAUUUAUUUUCUCAGUAAGGAAGCUAACGCGUGAAGUUGACCGCCUGGGGAGUACGGCCGCAAGGUUAAAACUCAAAUGAAUUGGCGGGG